rnacentral:lncRNA from 1 species
CUAUCAGUUAGGUCAGGUUCCUCCCCACAAGGAACUUAAAGUUUAGCAGGGAAAGAGAGACAGGUGGACAAAAGGCACAGCAAUCCAAUAAGUGCUCACGUAGGAAUGCCCCUUUCUUUGGGAUGAGGGGAAAGAGGAAGCAGAAAUGUGGAGAAAAUAGUGCGAGGAGGUGCAGCAGUGGGUUUUUUGUUGCUUACAUCACCUACUGAGUGUUGACAGCAAUGAUGGAACAAGUCAGCAAGUUUUCAGGGUGCUGCUGUGGAGCUGUGGAGAUGGGACCUUUAAAAGAGGAACUUGGCCAAGGUUGUGACAUUAAGGAAUGAAUUAAAGGUUCAGAUCAAGUGACACUUUCAUCUGCCUUACAAAUUACUAGGUUUCCACUUGAAAUGGUUAACACAAAUUGCCCCAUUCUCAUUCAUACCCAGCAAUCGGUGCUGGUCCCUGAACAACUGAACAUGGGCUUCAGUCUUAAAUCUAGAACCUUUGUGGAAAACAAAAAUUGA